GAUGAACGCUGGCGGCGUGCCUAAUACAUGCAAGUCGAGCGAAUGGAUUAAGAGCUUGCUCUUAUGAAGUUAGCGGCGGACGGGUGAGUAACACGAGGGUAACCUGCCCAUAAGACUGGGAUAACUCCGGGAAACCGGGGCUAAUACCGGAUAACAUUUUGAACCGCAUGGUUCGAAAUUCAAAGGCGGCUUCUGCUGUCACUUAUGGAUGGACCCGCGUCGCAUUAGCUAGUUGGUGAGGUAACGGCUCACCAAGGCAACGAUGCGUAGCCGACCUGAGAGGGUGAUCGGCCACACUGGGACUGAGACACGGCCCAGACUCCUACGGGAGGCAGCAGUAGGGAAUCUUCCGCAAUGGACGAAAGUCUGACGGAGCAACGCCGCGUGAGUGAUGAAGGCUUUCGGGUCGUAAAACUCUGUUGUUAGGGAAGAACAAGUGCUAGUUGAAUAAGCUGGCACCUUGACGGUACCUAACCAGAAAGCCACGGCUAACUACGUGCCAGCCGCCGCAGUAA
rnacentral:rRNA from 1 species